rnacentral:sRNA from 1 species
CAGAGAGAGAUUCUGUCUAAAAAAAAAAAAAAAAAAAAAAAAAGAUGUCCUCUUGGCCUUACUUCCAGUCCUUUGACUCACCAUCUACCAGUUUGGUUUUAGUUCGUCUUUGUCAGCGCCACAUGAGACACCUACAACAAGAUGCCUUAAGCCAGCUCAUGAAUGGCCCCAUCAGAAAGAAGCUCAAAAUUAUUCCUGAGGAUCAAUCCUGGGGAGGCCAGGCUACCAACGUCUUUGUGAACAUGGAGGAGGACUUCAUGAAGCCAGUCAUUAGCAUUGUGGACGAGUUGCUGGAGGCAGGGAUCAACGUGACCGUGUAUAACGGACAGCUUGAUCUCAUCGUAGAUACCAUGGGUCAGGAGGCCUGGGUGCGGAAACUGAAGUGGCCAGAACUGCCUAAAUUCAGUCAGCUGAAGUGGAAGGCCCUGUACAGUGACCCUAAAUCUUUGGAAACAUCUGCUUUUGUCAAGUCCUACAAGAACCUUGCUUUCUACUGGAUUCUGAAAGCUGGUCACAUGGUUCCUUCUGACCAAGGGGACAUGGCUCUAAAGAUGAUGAGACUGGUGACUCAGCAAGAAUAGGAUGGAUGGAGCUGGAGAUGAGCUGGUUUGGCCUUGGGGCACAGAGCUGAGCUGAGGCCACUGAAGCUGUAGGAAGCACCAUUCUUCCCUGUAUCUAACUGGGGCUGUGAUCAAGAAGGUUCUGACCAGCUUCUGCAGAGGAUAAAAUCAUUGUCUCUGGAGGCAAUUUGGAAAUUUCUGCUUCUUAAAAAAACUAAGAUUUUUAAAAAAAUUGAUUUGUUUUAAUCAAAAUAAAGGAUGAUAACAGAUAUUACUUUUUCUUAUGACAGAAGCAAAUGAUGUGAUUUAUAGAAAAACUGGGAAAUACAGGUACCCAAAGAGUAAAUCAACAUCUGUAUACCCCUUUC